rfam:Dipodomys ordii contig_51091, whole genome shotgun sequence.
GGUGGCUCAGUGGUAGAGCGCUUGCCUCUCAGGCAUGAAGCCCUGGGUUCAAUUCCUCAGCACCA